AUUUUUACAUGGAUAUUUUAAUAAAAUAUUAGUAUAUAUAUUACUUUUAUAUGGUACCAUAAUUUAUUAAUAUUUUAAUAUUUGAAUAAUGGUGCUUUAGGAUGAGGACAAGGUUUCUAACUUUGUUUUGACAUUAUUUCACGUGACGGUGUCUACUCAAUUAGAUAUCUAUAUAUUAUUAUAUUAAUAAAAUUAUUAGAGGAUGUCAAUCAACUAGAAUCAAAGCCCCUUUUCUUUAAUUAAUGAAGGACUUGCCUUUAUAUGCUUAUAACCCGUAUGACUAUCAUUUGUUUUAAUUGAUAUCUCUUCUUGAGAUUUAAUAGCUAAGGCUUUUAAAAAGGAAAUGUUGCUGCAUUAUACAAGAUGAUCCAUAGGCAAUAACGUUCCCUUCUUCAUCUCUGUAUCAACAUACAUCAAUUUACUUCAUGUUCUCCUCCUCCUUCCAAGAUCAAAUAUUCUAAUCUUCCUCCAUCGAUUUCAUGGUUAUAACAUCGAUAUACUAUGAAUAUUAUCAAUCCGAAUAUUACUUUGUAAUGAAGUAAGGUAUCGAGAAGCUUUAAAGAGGCGAUCUUGGUUUGAUCCGUUGCCUACGAUCUUCUACGAGCUCAUACGUGCAAUUAAGGUAUGUUAAGUCUAUCCCUUCUUUCUUUUUGGCAUGAUCCAAAUGAUACAAAUGAAACGAGCAAAAUACGCAACUCUCAUAAAUGACUUUAUUCAUAAAAAUACCAGGGGUGUCUAUAUUCUUGAUUCCACAUGUGAAUUAUUAUUAUAUCCUCUGUUCAUGGGUCUCAGAAAAAUACGUAUUUGAUAAAGUUUGUCCGAAAGGCAUAUUGAUUUUAUAAUAGUCGAGAAAUCUUAUUAAUGUAUUUCUUAUGCAUUUCAUGCAUUUAUACAUGUACAUUGACCCAUGACCAGAAGGCGUUAUAUACUCGCAUAUUAUGUGUAUAUGGGAUAUGGAAAAAGGUUAUGGCGUUAUAUACGCACUACCACCUGAUCAGCUGGUAUACGUUUGAUGAUUUACCCACAGUGGCCGAGAUGAUAUGAUGGGAUGCCCUUAGAGAUUUGAUGAUGUUAUGUACGCAUAUACCUAUGCAUGGUAUGACAUUUAUACGUAUAUGUAUGAUAUUAUAAAUAUGAAAUGAUUCACAGGGUUAUUCAAACUUACAUGUCUUUUACUCCAUGUUUCUCUCAUGUCUAUUAUUUACUAAUUUUCAUUCCUUACAUACUCGGUACAUUAUUUGUACUGACGUCCCUUUUGCCUGGGGACGCUGCGUUUCAUGCCUGCAGGUCCUGAUAAACAGGCUGCGAGUCCUCCAAGUAGGCUAUCAGCUCAUCGGAAGGUAUUAGUACGCUCCAUUUGCUCCGGAGUUGCUUAUUUGGUCAGUAUGAUUUGAACAUGUAUUAAUUAGUAUUACGGGGCCAUGUCCCGACCUUUUUGGUAUUCAUCUACUCUUAGAGGCUUGUAGACAUAUGUCAUGUACGUGAAAGAUUGUACGGCCUUAUCGGCCUAUGUUCAAUGUACGAGUGAUCAUUUUGGUCUUAUAGGCCCGUAUGUCAUAUGUAUAAGUUCGUAUUACAUGUUGGGUCAUCCAAUGUUGAGUGUUUCCUCAUUAUUAUUCUACUUAUCUCACGACAGUCUCUCCGACUCAUUUAUC
rnacentral:lncRNA from 1 species